CAAACGGUCCUUUUCAGAACCACCAAAUUAUUUAACGGUGGAACAU
rfam:Solenopsis invicta Si_gnG.contig37776, whole genome shotgun sequence.